UAUUUUAACUAAAUAAAAGGAGGGAGGUGUGGGUGUUGAAAUUUAGGGCUUGUUUGUUUCAAGGGUGGAAUUGGAAUGUUAAUAAAUGAGAAUGAUUGAAAUGGUAAUUGAAUGACCAUUUCCCAAAGAUGUUUGUUUAUUUGUGGAUUGGGAAUUGGAAUGAGUUAUUCACAUUUCAUUGUUUGUUCGUAUAAAUUUAAAAAAUUACAAGAUACUAUAAUACUAAUUUUACUCUCAAAUAUAAAUUUAUAUUAUUUAAAUUUUAUGAAAUAUAUAAUACAUCUCUAAUAAGUUUUUCAAAAAAAAAUCAAAUUUAUUUUUAAAACUUUUAUUAAUGGGGUUAGGAAUAGGGUUUUGAGAGAGAAAAUUUUUUUUUUUUUUUUUUUUUUUUUUUUUUUUUUUUUUAUAUAUAUGAGAAAGGGUUGAAGAGAAGGAGGGUGAGUUGGUCACAUGGGCUUCGAGAGCUUAGUGGGCUUUCAGAAUGAAAUCUCAAUCCGGGCUAGAAGACCGGAAUCAAGUUGAAAGCUAAUGGGCCAUUCCCAUUCCAAUCCGGAAUAGAAAUUUCAAACCGAUUCAUGCAAACCAAACAAAAUUAACCAGAUCUGAUAAAACCGAUUUCCAUUCCAUACCCAGAAUGGAUAAACCAAACAAGCCCUUAAGGUAAUUGAGAUUUUCGAGGACGAGAGGACAUUCCUAUCGUAAUUGUUUAGAGCGGUCGUGAUUUUUGGGAUUUCAUGGUAAGAUUCCGAGAGUUUUUUAUUUUUAUUUAUUUAUUUUUUGGCAUAUCACAAUAUUUUUUUUUUUAUUUAUUUAUUUUUCUCGCGAAGUCAUGAUACUUCACUUUGUUGCUAAAUUCAUCUUCUUACUGAAUAAAGCGGUAGCAUGUUACCUUUCGCUCUAAAAAAAAGUAUAUUUAUCGACAAAUUCAAAUUAAAAAAAUAUACUUAUAUACAUACAUCACAUUAGUUAUGAAAAUUUUUAGUACUGAGAUUUUCAAUCACCAGACCAAUAAUAUCAGAAAAAUAUGUAAUUUGAUUUCUAAAUACUUCAGUAGCAAAAUCACAUUAAAUGAAAUUGAUUGUCGAUUCACAUAUUCUACCAUCAAAAGUAAUUUUAUUGCAUGGAAAGCUUCAUGCUAUUAAUCAUAUAAAAGCUGGACACUUUUUAGAUUAUUUUUUAACCGCAUAAAUUUUAAAUUAUAUUCUCAAUAUAAUAAUUCUUAUUUUCUCACUUUUCGAUAUUAAAAAUUAAAAUUUUUAAAUGUUCAUUCGAAUUUGAUUCAAAUUACAUUGAAAUUAAUGAAGAAUAUUAAAAUCAAAAUCAAAUUUAAUUCACAAUUUUGUACACCCUAUCUUAUGUAGUUGGAUUGUUCAAAACGGUAUGUAUAAUUUCUAUACAAUAAGGCCCCGUUUGGUUGGGGGAUAAGCGGGGAUAACAAAAGUUAUCCCCGCUAUUCCGCCAAACGGAAUGAAAACUGGCCGGGAUAUUUUAUCCCGGUCAAACCUUGCUAUUCCCGGUUAUCCCGGGAUAGUAAGGAAUUUGUUAUUCCACCAUUUUGGUGGAAUAGCGCUAUUUCAAUGCUUAAUUUCAAACUUAAUUAAAAUUAUAAAUUGAAUUAAAACUAAAGUAUAUAAAUAUAAUAUAUUAUAUAUUAUAAUACAUUAUUUUUAUUAUAAAAUUAUUAAUUAUACUAUAUUAAUACAUAUUAUUUAUANUAUAUAACCCGAAGCCCAGUCUCAAAAUAGAUUAAAGAGUUUUUUUAUUCUGGGCUGAGUUCAGGUUUGGGUUAUGGAUCUAGAUAGUCCGAAACACUUCUGGGUGAAAUAUGUAAACAGUAUAUCAUGUUUAUAUAAAAAUAACAUAUUUUAAAUUUUUUUAUAAGAGUUUAAUUGUUUAUUAUUUAUUAUAUAUAAUAUAUAUAUAUUACAAUUCAAUAUAAAUAUAUUGAUACAUUUUAUAUAUAUUUUGAAUUAUAGAAUAAAACUAUUAAUUGGAUAGCCCAAAACCCAACCCGAGCUCGACCCCUGUACGGGUUUGUCCCGUUUGUUAAAAAACCUGAAUUUAAAAAUUCGGGCCGGGUAUGUAUCAGGUAGUCCGGUCUGGAACAAAUCUGGGUUCGGGUCAAGGUAGGGAUCAACUAUCAAAUUGGAUAAAAAGCACUCGGUCGAGCAAACUUGUGCUCGGUUUUAAAAGUCAAGCUAUAAAUUUAUUCGGUCGAGCACAAGCUGAACAACUGCCGGGAUCAAGAUCGUGUCGGUUCCGGGCGAAACCCGGCCUAGUAUGAUGCGGCUGCACAAACUCCCCUCAUCGGGACGUACAGGACAUCAUCCCCCGGCCCGGCCGUCUUCUCUAGUUUGCUAUUCAUACGAGGUGAUUAAGAAAAUAGCUUCGUUUUUAACAAACUAUCUAUCUUUGUUGAAGCGUCAUGUUAUGAGUUCAUUUGUGUAAGUUUGAUGUUUACGUACUUUUCCUGUAUUUUCUCAGUUUGCUCUGAAAUCAUUAAGUUUGAUGUUUACGUACUUUUCCUGUAUUUUCUCAGUUUGCUCUGAAAUCAUUAAUCGAGUAGAAGUUCGGUGCGUAUACGAGAUACUCUCAUUUCGGGCCGGGCUUGGGUAUAAAAUAACCUGACCCAAGCCCGGCGCAGUUCCAGCCCUAUUGUCAACCCUGCAACUGGAUAAAAAGUUGAAAAAGAAUUAGAAAAUUAGUAUCUUAAUCUAAUAAUUAAAAUAUACAAAAUAUAGGUGUCUACAUUUGGAUUGGCUUAAAAAUCAAAUAGUAAAAAUUUAUAAUAUAUAUAGAUUGAAAAUAAAAAUGAAUAACCUAACACAAAUCAAAAUAUUAAGAUAAUAAAAACAUUAAAAAUUUUAGAGAUCGUAAAUUAAAAGGAAAAAAAAAAAAGAGUAUUAUCUCAAUUGGCCUAUAGUAGAGAAGAUUCACAUAAUUUUUUUACUGUCUAAAUUUGCACCCAUUAUAAGCAAAUAAUGCUUAAAUAUUUAAAACAUACAUAGCAUUGAUGAAUGCAGCAUCAAUUAUUAAAAUUAAUAAAAUAAUUAUGUUCAAUAAAAUUACAUAAAUACAGUUAGUAAUGUAAGUGACUUGAUACAAGCACUAAUAACUUAAUACUUUUAAAAAUAUAAGAGAAGAAUUAUAUAUAUAGAGAGAGAGAGAGAGAGAGUACUCCCGCUGGAAUGUUAUUAAUAGCAUUCGGCACUUGGCGCUAUCAAGGUUUCUAUUAUUAAAUCUAUCCCUUGAUCAAUUCUACCUUUAGAUCAUAUUAUUCUACCAACCGCCCACUCAACUGUAAAAAGGACUACCACUAAACCCUAAAGACCACUAUAAUUCCAAAUUCUAUAAUUUUGCAUCCGAAAUUUUAAAAAUUAGUAGUAAAUAUAUCCAAAUACUAUUAAUAGUAUUUCAGCACAAUUCUCUUUCUCUUUAUAUAUAUUAGUGAAAAUAGACGUGCAAUGCACGUAAUAUUUAUUUUUAAAAUCCUGUUGUCUCGUUUGUCCACUCGGCGCGAUUUACCAAAUUGUAAAUCCCCAAAUAUGCAUGUGUAUAAGCAUACAAAUGGGCUCAUUAUUACUGUCUAAAUCCUUUCUAUUAUUUAGAAGACGCGCUUAAUUUUGCCACAUGUGCAAGUGUUGCCUAAGUGCUGUGGGAUUUUGUCAACCCGGGUUUCGGAUCUUAAGUAAUGAGGUGAGAGAGAUUUUAAUAAUUAGGUGCAUGCGAUAGGCUUGGAAAGCUAAAAUAAUUAGGCAAUUAGAAGGAUCGAAAAUUUUAACUAAAUAAAAGGAGGGAGGUGUGGGUGUUGAAAUUUAGGGCUUGUUUGUUUCAAGGGUGGAAUUGGAAUGGUUAAUAGAAUGAGAAUGAAUUGAAAUGGUAAUUGGAAUGACCCAUUUCCCUAAGAUGUUUGGUUUAUUUGUGGAUUGGGAAUUGGAAUGAGUUAUUCACAUUUCAUUGUUUGGUUCGUAUAAAUUAAAAAAAUUACAAGAUACUAUAAUACUAAUUUUACUCUCAAAUAUAAAUUUAUAUUAUUUAAAAUUUAUGAAAUAUAUAAUACUAUUCUCUAAUAAGUUUUUCAAAAAAAAAAUCAAAUUUAUUUUUAAAAACUUUUAUUAAUGUGGGUUAGGAAUAGGGUUUUGAGAGAAAUAGAUUUUUUUUUUUUUUUUUUUUUUUUUUUUUU
rnacentral:lncRNA from 1 species